rnacentral:SRP_RNA from 1 species
CGAUGGGCUUGAGCGGCGACAUGUCCCGAACCUGGUCAGGUCCGGGAGGAAGCAGCCAUAAGGGACCGCUGACGAGCGCUCAAGUCUGCCGAGA